ACUCACUGGUGCCUGCCUCCUGUCAAUGUCUGGGGCUGGUGUUGGGAAGCAUCACUGAUAUCUAUAUGGCUGUGGUAAUUUCAAAUGUGAUUAGUGAGGGCAGGGUUUGCCUAGAGUCUCCCAGUGAGGGGUGAGGGCAUAUGCUCAGAAGUAAAGCAUUUCUAAAAUUCUCCCAAUAAAGGGUUGGAAGCUAAGCUAAUUGUAGAGUGCCUGUCCCAGAAUCCUCUAGUGAGGAUCUGGGGUAUGACUCAAGGCAAGGUGCUUGAUUGCCCAGAAUCCUCCAGUGAGGGGCUGGGGGUGUGGCUUAGUGGUAGAGCAUCUGCCUAGAAUCCUCCAGGAAGGGGCUGAGGAUGUGGCUCAGUGGUAGAGCCCCUGCCUAGAAUCCCCCCAGUGAGAGGUUGGGGGUGUGGCUCAGUGGUAGAGCCCCCGCCUAGAAUCCCCAGUGAGGGGCUGGGGGCGUGGCUCAGCUAUAGAGCACCUGCCUAGAAUUCCCCAGUGAGGGGCUGGGGGCGUGGCUCAGCUGUAGAGCACCUAGCCAGUAUGCACCACACUUGGCUUCCAUUUCUAGCACUGCAAAUAGAGGAAUAAAUAGACAUGAGGAGAAUAGUUCUGCCUCCACAAACAGCACUGUCUCUUCCUAGAUGCCCCCAGCAUCACUUGCCCAAAGCAGUACAAGCGGUCAGGCACCUUGCAGAGCAACUUUUGCUCCAGUAGCCUGGUGGUGACAGGAACAGUGAAGGCCAUGGUCCGGGGCCCAGGGGAGGGCCUCACUGUCACCGUCAG
rnacentral:lncRNA from 1 species